rnacentral:rRNA from 1 species
GACUCUGCUCACAACUAUUCCGCUCGGUGCUAUGAAGAUCUCAAGACCAGUAUGGCUCAUAUCGACAAUGUGAUGGAAAAGAGAAAUGAGAAGGUAGCUACUGCUGCGAGAUUGAGGCUUAAGACUACCAUCGAAGCCAUGAGGUGGUUGAUAUUCCAAGCUUGUUCUUUUAGAGGUCAUGAUGAAUCUGCGGGGUCUAAGAACCAAGGAAAUUUUCUUGAAAUGGUUAAGAUUCUCGCUUUGUACAAUAAGGAUGUCGCGGGAGUUGUUCUGGAAAAUGCUCUAGGUAAUGCAAAGUAUACAUCCGGAGAUGUUUAGAAAGAGAUUGUUGGCAUACUUGCUCUAGAAGUGCAGAAAGCAAUUAGAGAAGAAAUAGGUAAUGCGAAGUUCUGCAUAAUGGUUGAUGAAGCUCGGGAUGAAUCAAGAAAAGAACAAAUGGCAGUUGUUCUUCGGUUUGCCAACAAAGAAGCAGAAAUAAUUGAGAGUUUCCUUGAUCUAGUUCAUGUUAAUGACACUGCUGCCUUAACUUUGAAAAAUGCAAUAUGUACUGUACUGUCAAAUAAUAACUUGAAUGUACAAGACAUCAGGGGCCAAGCAUAUGACGGUGCAAGUAAUAUGAGAGGGGAGUGGAAUGGACUGAAGGCUCUUAUUCUCCGUGAGUGUCCAUAUGCCUACUAUAUUCAUUGUAUGGCUCAUCAAUUACAAUUGGCGCUUGUUGCUGCAUCACGAGAGGUACAUGAGGUACAUAACUUUUUUCAGAAUGCAAAUUUUGUAAUAAAUGUUGUUAGUGCUUCUACAAAGCGCAGCGAUGAGCUACUAGCAAACCAAGCGGAGGAAAUUGCUCUCUUAAGAGGUAUAGCAAGUGAUCGUUCAGUCUCAAAAUAUUCUCGUGGAGAUGCCGUUGGAUCCCUUAAAAUUGUCAUAUCAUUUGAUUUCGUGUUCAUUCUACAUCUGAUGGAAAAGAUAAUGAAGAUCACUGAUGUGUUGUGUCAGAAACUCCAAUACAAAUCUUUGGACAUUUUAAAUGCCAUAGAUUCUGUUUCUAACACAAAGGUCCUACUUGGUGAGCUAAGGGAACAUGGUUGGGACUCUCUUUUAGAGGAGGUCAAAUCUUUUUGUGUGAAGCACGAGAUUGAUAUCCCAGAUUUGGACCGCAACAACACAACAACACUCCACCACUACAAAGUCGAUGUUUUCGGUGUUGCAAUUGAUCAACAACUGAGUGAACUGAAUGAUCGAUUCAGUACACAAGCAACUGAGCUCCUUACUCUCUGUUCAUCAUUGGAUCCAAGGCAUCCAAUGGUUGACAGGUUGCUGUGACUAGUUAUCACUCUCCCAAUCUCAACGGCAACUGCAGAGCGGGCUUUUUCAGCUAUGAAAAUAUUCAAGACACGUCUUCGAAGUAAAAUGGGAGAUGAUUUGCUUCGCCAUUGCAUGAUAAUUUACAUAGAAAAAAAAUAG